GCGGGGGUGCCGGAGUGGUCAAACGGGGGAGGCUUAAGACCUCCUGCGCUUAGGCGCUUCAAGAGUUCGAACCUCUUCCCCCGCA
rnacentral:tRNA from 1 species